GUGUUCUCUUUGGCAGCACUUAUACUAAAACUGGAAUGAUACAGAGAUUAGCAUGGGCCCUGUGCAAGGAUGACACUGAAAUUCAUGAAGUGUUCCAUAUUUUU